AAUAUCAAUUGAAAAUUGAAACAUUUGAAGAGUGAUUUGGAAUAUUGUAAAAUCGAAAAGUUGACUUGAGAUCGGAUCAUGAUUGAAGUACUUAAGGUUGGAAUAAUUAUUAGAGAUCAAGGUAACUUUAUUAAUGGUGUUUGAACAAUUCAGGGCAGAUAAUUGAUCACAAAACUAACUGCAAUUUGGAAUUUUGAGGUAUUUGAACCCAGUAAGAUCGGAAAACAAAGGAAUGUAAGAUCGGAUGAUCCGAAGAUCGGACAUCGAUCAGAACAGGUCGAAUAAAAGCAAAGAGACCAAAUUAACUUAAAGGUGCAUGAAAACAGAGUUUUGAAACUUAAACACCCAUCGAAAAGAUCAGAAAACAACCUAACUGUGUGUGAAGUCAAAUUAUUGUGGAGCCACAUUUAUUUGGGAAAUGAUUCGAACCAUUGCUGAAUUCAGAUAAGUGACCUGUGAUCGGGUCGUAAUUUAGGUAACUUUUGAGAUCGGAUGAUGUUAAGAUGGGAAAUUCAUUCACUAAAUUAAAAUUGCAUCAUAACUUUUAAAGAGAAAUUUGUAUAUUAAACCAGUUGUGUAUUUAAAGGCAGACCAAAAUAUGGUGUCUACAAUGUUGUUACAAGAGAAGAGGAAGAUGAGG
rnacentral:misc_RNA from 1 species